GGUUAAGCGACUAAGCGUACACGGUGGAUGCCCUGGCAGUCAGAGGCGAUGAAGGACGUGCUAAUCUGCGAUAAGCGUCGGUAAGGUGAUAUGAACCGUUAUAACCGGCGAUUUCCGAAUGGGGAAACCCAGUGUGAUUCGUCACACUAUCAUUAACUGAAUCCAUAGGUUAAUGAGGCGAACCGGGGGAACUGAAACAUCUAAGUACCCCGAGGAAAAGAAAUCAACCGAGAUUCCCCCAGUAGCGGCGAGCGAACGGGGAGCAGCCCAGAGCCUGAAUCAGUGUGUGUGUUAGUGGAAGCGUCUGGAAAGGCGUGCGAUACAGGGUGACAGCCCCGUACACAAAAAUGCACAUGCUGUGAGCUCGAUGAGUAGGGCGGGACACGUGGUAUCCUGUCUGAAUAUGGGGGGACCAUCCUCCAAGGCUAAAUACUCCUGACUGACCGAUAGUGAACCAGUACCGUGAGGGAAAGGCGAAAAGAACCCCGGCGAGGGGAGUGAAAAAGAACCUGAAACCGUGUACGUACAAGCAGUGGGAGCACGCUUAGGCGUGUGACUGCGUACCUUUUGUAUAAUGGGUCAGCGACUUAUAUUCUGUAGCAAGGUUAACCGAAUAGGGGAGCCGAAGGGAAACCGAGUCUUAACUGGGCGUUAAGUUGCAGGGUAUAGACCCGAAACCCGGUGAUCUAGCCAUGGGCAGGUUGAAGGUUGGGUAACACUAACUGGAGGACCGAACCGACUAAUGUUGAAAAAUUAGCGGAUGACUUGUGGCUGGGGGUGAAAGGCCAAUCAAACCGGGAGAUAGCUGGUUCUCCCCGAAAGCUAUUUAGGUAGCGCCUCGUGAAUUCAUCUCCGGGGGUAGAGCACUGUUUCGGCAAGGGGGUCAUCCCGACUUACCAACCCGAUGCAAACUGCGAAUACCGGAGAAUGUUAUCACGGGAGACACACGGCGGGUGCUAACGUCCGUCGUGAAGAGGGAAACAACCCAGACCGCCAGCUAAGGUCCCAAAGUCAUGGUUAAGUGGGAAACGAUGUGGGAAGGCCCAGACAGCCAGGAUGUUGGCUUAGAAGCAGCCAUCAUUUAAAGAAAGCGUAAUAGCUCACUGGUCGAGUCGGCCUGCGCGGAAGAUGUAACGGGGCUAAACCAUGCACCGAAGCUGCGGCAGCGACACUGUGUGUUGUUGGGUAGGGGAGCGUUCUGUAAGCCUGCGAAGGUGUGCUGUGAGGCAUGCUGGAGGUAUCAGAAGUGCGAAUGCUGACAUAAGUAACGAUAAAGCGGGUGAAAAGCCCGCUCGCCGGAAGACCAAGGGUUCCUGUCCAACGUUAAUCGGGGCAGGGUGAGUCGACCCCUAAGGCGAGGCCGAAAGGCGUAGUCGAUGGGAAACAGGUUAAUAUUCCUGUACUUGGUGUUACUGCGAAGGGGGGACGGAGAAGGCUAUGUUGGCCGGGCGACGGUUGUCCCGGUUUAAGCGUGUAGGCUGGUUUUCCAGGCAAAUCCGGAAAAUCAAGGCUGAGGCGUGAUGACGAGGCACUACGGUGCUGAAGCAACAAAUGCCCUGCUUCCAGGAAAAGCCUCUAAGCAUCAGGUAACAUCAAAUCGUACCCCAAACCGACACAGGUGGUCAGGUAGAGAAUACCAAGGCGCUUGAGAGAACUCGGGUGAAGGAACUAGGCAAAAUGGUGCCGUAACUUCGGGAGAAGGCACGCUGAUAUGUAGGUGAAGUCCCUCGCGGAUGGAGCUGAAAUCAGUCGAAGAUACCAGCUGGCUGCAACUGUUUAUUAAAAGCACAGCACUGUGCAAACACGAAAGUGGACGUAUACGGUGUGACGCCUGCCCGGUGCCGGAAGGUUAAUUGAUGGGGUCAGCGCAAGCGAAGCUCUUGAUCGAAGCCCCGGUAAACGGCGGCCGUAACUAUAACGGUCCUAAGGUAGCGAAAUUCCUUGUCGGGUAAGUUCCGACCUGCACGAAUGGCGUAAUGAUGGCCAGGCUGUCUCCACCCGAGACUCAGUGAAAUUGAACUCGCUGUGAAGAUGCAGUGUACCCGCGGCAAGACGGAAAGACCCCGUGAACCUUUACUAUAGCUUGACACUGAACAUUGAGCCUUGAUGUGUAGGAUAGGUGGGAGGCUUUGAAGUGUGGACGCCAGUCUGCAUGGAGCCGACCUUGAAAUACCACCCUUUAAUGUUUGAUGUUCUAACGUUGACCCGUGAUCCGGGUUGCGGACAGUGUCUGGUGGGUAGUUUGACUGGGGCGGUCUCCUCCUAAAGAGUAACGGAGGAGCACGAAGGUUGGCUAAUCCUGGUCGGACAUCAGGAGGUUAGUGCAAUGGCAUAAGCCAGCUUGACUGCGAGCGUGACGGCGCGAGCAGGUGCGAAAGCAGGUCAUAGUGAUCCGGUGGUUCUGAAUGGAAGGGCCAUCGCUCAACGGAUAAAAGGUACUCCGGGGAUAACAGGCUGAUACCGCCCAAGAGUUCAUAUCGACGGCGGUGUUUGGCACCUCGAUGUCGGCUCAUCACAUCCUGGGGCUGAAGUAGGUCCCAAGGGUAUGGCUGUUCGCCAUUUAAAGUGGUACGCGAGCUGGGUUUAGAACGUCGUGAGACAGUUCGGUCCCUAUCUGCCGUGGGCGCUGGAGAACUGAGGGGGGCUGCUCCUAGUACGAGAGGACCGGAGUGGACGCAUCACUGGUGUUCGGGUUGUCAUGCCAAUGGCACUGCCCGGUAGCUAAAUGCGGAAGAGAUAAGUGCUGAAAGCAUCUAAGCACGAAACUUGCCCCGAGAUGAGUUCUCCCUGACUCCUUGAGAGUCCUGAAGGAACGUUGAAGACGACGACGUUGAUAGGCCGGGUGUGUAAGCGCAGCGAUGCGUUGAGCUAACCGGUACUAAUGAACCGUGAGGCUUAACCUU
rnacentral:rRNA from 1 species